AUUGAACGCUAGCGGGAUGCCUUACACAUGCAAGUCGACCUUUGUGGCGGACUGGUGAGUAAUUUAUCGGCACGUGCCCAGUCUCCCCGGAUAACUACUCUAAACCUUGGCUACUACCGCUUACUAUUCUUUCGGCCGUUAUCGGAUGAGCUAGGUGGUGGGGUAAAGGCUCACAAAGGCCACCAUCCCUAGCUGGUGUGAGAGGACGACCGGCCACACGGGGACUGAGACACGGCCCAGACUCCUACGGGAGGCAGCAGUGGGGAAUUUUGGACAAUGGGGGAAAGCCUGAUCCAGCAAUGCCGCGUGUAUGAUGAAGGUCUUCGGGUUGUAAAGUACUUUUGGCAGAGAAGCGGUAACUAAAGAGAAAGCAACGGCUAACUACGUGCCAGCCGCCGCGGUAAUAG
rnacentral:rRNA from 1 species